rnacentral:rRNA from 1 species
GACGAACGCUGGCGGCGUGCUUAACACAUGCAAGUCGAACGGAAAGGCCCUGCCGUUGUGGGGUGCUCGAGUGGCGAACGGGUGAGUAACACGGGAGUAACCUGCCCUUGACUUUGGGAUAACGUCAGGAAACUGGGGCUAAUACCGGAUAGGAGCGCCUGCUGCAUGGUGGUGGUUGGAAAGUUUCGGCGGGUGGGGAUGGGCUCGCGGCUUAUCAGCUUGUUGGUGGGGUAGUGGCUUACCAAGGCUUUGACGGGUAGCCGGCCUGAGAGGGUGACCGGCCACAUUGGGACUGAGAUAACGCCCAGACUCAUACGGGAGGCAGCAGUGGGGAAUAUUGCACAAUGGGCGGAAGCCUGAUGCAGCAACGCCGCGUGCGGGAUGACGGCCUUCGGGUUGUAAACCGCUUUAGCCUGUGACGAAGCGUGAGUGACGGUAAUGGGUAAAGAAGCACCGGCUAACUACGUG